UACGAAGGGGGCUAGCGUUGUUCGGAAUUACUGGGCGUAAAGCGCGCGCAGGCGGUCUUCCAAGUCAGUGGUGAAAGCCCGGAGCUCAACUCCGGAACUGCCAUUGAAACUGUUAGACUUGAGGAUGAGAGAGGUGAGUGGAAUUCCCAGUGUAGAGGUGAAAUUCGUAGAUAUUGGGAAGAACACCGGUGGCGAAGGCGGCUCACUGGUUCAUUUCUGACGCUCAGGCGCGACAGCGUGGGGAUCAAACAGG
rnacentral:rRNA from 1 species